GGUCGCACAGAGUCAGACACGACUGAAGUGACUUAGCAGCAGCAGUGAUUGAAAAUGCAUCCAAAUCAGGUGGGAAUGUUAUAAAUGAAUAUUAAAAUCAUGCAUGUUAUAAAUGGUCACAUCUCUGACUUGCUAAAUUAGAUUCUCUGGGUAUGGACCUUAAUUUUGCUUUUUUUUUUUUUUUUUACAAAUAUUUGAUUUUUGCAGUGCUUAAAGUUUGAGCAUUAGUGGAGUCUGUUUAGACCAAGUUACAAGCCAAGUGUGUGAACUUGGAAUAGUUACUCAAUAUCUCUGAACCUCAGUUUCCUCAUCUGUUAAAUGGGGCCAGUACUGCACAUCACAGAUCUUAAUGAUGAGAAUUAUAAAUCAUCUCUUUAAGGUGCCUACUAGAUGCUCAGUUAAUGUUCAGUGAUUAUUUCAAAGGAAAUUAUUUUACGGGUACCCAUGCUCCCAGAAAGUGCAUGAACGUGUACAUGUGAUUUUCUUAAAUCAACUCAUAUUUUAACUAUAGCAACAAAUGUCUCCAUUUAAAAUGAACAGCAAGAGUUCCCUCUGGCCUAAUGGUUAGGAUUUUGGGCUUUCACUGCCAUGGCCCAGGUUCAAUUCAAUCUGUGUGGUGCAGUCAAAAAAGGGAAAAAAUGACACCUCGUGUCUGUCAGAUUUGUCAGCUUAAACUUCAUGUGACAUAGUUUCAACUAGACAACAAUUUAUCAUGCACCCACUCAAAUGUAAGUGUACAGAGACAUGGGGUGGGGUUCUUGACUUCCAGCAGCUCAUAAUCAUGUUGAGGAUACAGACCUGUAGGUAUUAGUCAUAAUGCGACCAGGGAAACAAACCAGGCCAGCUGUUGCAGGAAAUGGCUUAUGCAGGAUUGGAAGGCAGGAAGCGAAGGGCAAUAGAGAAAUCGGGGACAGCAGGGAGAAGCUCCCACUGCUCAGCAGGAAGGACAGAGGAAGGAGGUGGAGUGACCAGAGCCAAGGAGCUGGGGUCUCCUGGAGCAAGCUGAAACCACAAGCUUUCCUGGGGAGCUGGAGACAGAGCAGACAGAGCCAGCAGCUGCCAGCACCUUUGAGAAUCACUGCAUUUCAUCUCACUUCAGAAGUCCUCAAAUGCAAGAAGAACCACCAAGGAGCAGGAGGAAGAGAAGGAGGAAGAAGACAAGAAUGCCGCCAUCACAUGGCAAGUGAGGAAACAGAGCAUCCCGCUAUUUCUUCUGCCAGCUGCCUUAACUGCACGACUCUAGAACCUGGGUAGAAUGCUGUCUUUAAACACAAACUAAUUACUUUGUCUUAUGGGCAACCAAAAAAGAGACGCGGAUGAACCCAGAGACUGACACACCGAGUGAAGCAAGCAAGAAAGAAAACGUUGCACACUAACACGUACCCAUGCAAUCCAGGAAAACGGCACCAGAUGAACCCCCUCACAAAGCAGAAUCUGAGAUGGAUGCAGAGAACCCUCCUACAUUUUUAAGUGCACAAUGCAGCGUUGUUAACUGUGGACACGGUAUUGCACGGCAGAACUCUACUUGCGCUCCUCUCUUAUAUCUGAGACUUUAUACCCUAUGAAUAGCAAUUUUCCAUUUCCCCCUCCCUGAGCAGCUGGCAACCAUCAUUCUACUUUCCCCUUCUAUAUAUUUGAUUAUUUUAGAAACCUCAUAAAAGUAGAAUCAUAAUGUCCUCCAGGCUUAUCCAUGUUAGUGCAUAUGGCAGAAUUCCCUUCUUUUUCAAGGAUAAAUAGUAUUCCUUUGUAUGUUGGUGUAUGUGUGAUCAUAUGAAUGCACAAUAUUUUAUUUAUCCAUUCAUUACUUUGAUUGUUUCCAUAUUUUGACUAUUGUAAGCAGUCCUCCAGAGAACAUGGGAAUACAAAUAUUUCAUUGAGAUCCUGACUUUAAUUCCUUUGAGUAUAUUCAGAAUCCUGAAUUCUUUUUUUCAACAGAAUUUUUAUUGGAGGAUAAUUGCCUUACAAUAUUGUGUUAAUUUCUGCCAUACAUCAAUAUGAAUCAGCCAGAGGUAUACCUAUGUCCCCACCCUCUUGAAACUCCCUCCCACUUCCCACUCCAUCCCACCCCUCUAGGUUGCCACAGAGUGCUGGGUUUGAUCUCCUGAGUUGUGAAUUAUAUGAUAAUUCUAAUUUAAUUUUUAAAGGAAUCUCCAUACUAUUUCCCAUGUGGUUGCACCAUUUUACAUUCCUGCUAACAGUAUAUAAGAAUUCCAAUUUCUCCACAUCCUUGACAGUACUUGUUUUUUUUUGUUUGUUUGUUUGUUUCUUUUCUGUAAUAAUGGUCAUCCUGACAGGUGUGAAGCAAUACUUCAUUGUUGGUUUGCAUUUUUAUGAUGAUUAGUGAUCCUGUACACCUUUUCAUGUACUUGUUGGCCAUUGGUAUGUUUUUGGAAAUUUGACCCUUAAUCUCACACAAAUAUUGACUAAAAUGAGUUAAAGGUUUAAACAUAAGACCCAAAACUAUAAAACUCCCAGAUGAAACCAGGGGAAAAGCUUCACGACAUUAGUCUAGGCAAUGAUUCUUGGAAAUUACACCAAAAGCACAAGCAAGAAAAAAAAGAGUGGAUAAAUUAGACUACAUUAUACACUUAGAAGCUUCUGCACAGCACAGGAAAAUAUCAACAUAGUGGAUGGGAAACAUAAAACAGGGAGUAUAUUUGUAAACCACAUAUCUGAUAAGGCGUUAAUAAUAUCAAAAAUAUAU